rnacentral:rRNA from 1 species
CCGUUAAACCUCACCACUUCUAGCCAUCCCAGCCUAUAUACCGCCGUCGUCAGCUUACCCUGUGAAGGUAAUAAAAGUAAGCAAAAUGGGUAUAACCCAGAACGUCAGGUCGAGGUGUAGCGCAUGAAGUGGAAAGAAAUGGGCUACAUUUUCUGUCACAGAAUAUUACGAACAUGCACCAUGAAACAGUACUUGAAGGAGGGAUUUAGUAGUAAAAAGGAAAUAGAGUGUCCUUUUGAACCCGGCUUUGAGACGCGUACACACCGCCCGUCACUCUCCCCUGUCAAAACGCGCCCAAAAUACUUAAUAAAACAGCACUGACAAGGGGAGGCAAGUCGUAACACGGUAAGUGUACCGGAAGGUGCACUUGGAUUAAACC